AAAAGGGAAACAUGAGUUGAUAUUAAAAUCCCGAAAGUUUGAAUUCCUUUUGCAAAAAUAAUACAUUCAGCAAUCUCUGCUGACUCUCCUCCUGGUGGGCUACAGUGGAGUAUGCGAUUCUGAGAGUGCUCACCUACCCUGAAGUCCUCUGCCACACGCUGAUUUCAUGGGCAGAUGGAGACACUGACUGCACUUGGCUGGAAGGAAUCCUCCAAAAGUCACUGGAAGCCUUGCUUCUGCCCGGGCCCCCUCUCACUUCUUCUCCUGGUCCUGCCUCAGACCUGACGCUCCAUCUCGGACUUCUCCGGAGCUGCAGCCUGAAUUCAAGGCCGAGAACCUGACUGGUCCACGGACCCCUGAGCUCAGCACGUCAGAAUGAGAGCAGCGUCCCUGCCCGUCCUCAGAGCUCUGCUGUGGUCAGUUGUCACCUCCGGGGGACCUGACUGUUCUUCACAGUCCCCGGCCACCAUCCUGGAAGCUGCCACUUCUGGAAAUGAGUUGUAGGAGAGCCGAGCCACUCGCACGCGCACCAAGGACGGCGGCCUUCACUGGCUUUUGCGAGCAAAAGCAAACAAGAUGUGCACGAGCCGCCGUAGAAAUCCUGAGCACAGGUAAAUGUUUCUGGGGCAGUAACAUUUCUCUCCCUUCCCGUGUCUCCUACAUUACUUAUUUCUUCAUUUUCCAGGAGCUCCAAAUAAAUCCUUUCCUGGAAUCCACACAGCGCUGGGAUUCUGGGUACAAAUAUGCUUUAUUUGAUAGGGAAUGAGCUCAUGCAACUCUCCCCAGCCACUGGUCAGGAGUUGAAAUCACUGCCAGUAAGAGCAAAUCCCAAGAGAAGCAGAAAUACUCUGCACAGGCCCUUUGUCUCUGAUGUAAUUGAUUUUUAAAGUAACGCAAUUGAAAAAUAUAUCCGUUUUGCAGCGACCUGUGCCUUAAGCCGCAUCAUUGGUGCCCAUGACUAUCUGGCCUUAGGUACUGUUGACAAAUCUCUUGACCCUGUCAUCCCUGAGACCCACGCUGCCGGAGCCAAAGUUUCCACUGAGAAGUCUGGCCAAUGGGACCCAGAUCUUCCAGAUAAUGUCUACUUCGUCCGUUCAUCCAUCGACACAUUCACUCAACAAAUAUAUCCUGAACUUUUAUUACAGACAGAGCAUGAAAAAAUGUAUUUUUUUAUAGGACCGUGUGGUAAUUAAGUCAAAUGUCAAAACAAAGGCAACUGGUAGGCAAAAAUCAUUGGCAUGCUCUGAAGAAACAGAUCGUAUGCAAGGGGCUUGCAGAGGCCUGGGUGGGGGUAGAGGGUGGCCGUCCCUGUGCACGCCCUGCAGAGAGUGGGAGAGACUCCCUCGUGGGGCUUGACAGUCGAGCUGUCCACCUGUG
rnacentral:lncRNA from 1 species